GUUGGUAGGGUAAGAGCCUACCAAGGCGACGAUCAGUAGCUGGUCUGAGAGGAUGAGCAGCCACACUGGGACUGAGACACGGCCCACACUCCUACGGGGGGCGGCAGUGGGGGAUUUUCCCCAUUGGGGGAAAACCUGACGGAGCAAAACCGCGUGGGGGAGGAAGGUGCUUGUGUUGUCAACCCCUUUUCUCAAGGGAGAAAAUCUGACGGUCCUUGAUGAAUAAGCAUCAGCUAAUUCCUUGCCACCAACCGCGGUAAUACUGAGGAUGCAAGCGUUAUCCUGAAUAAUUGUGCGUCAAAAGUCCCUAGGUGGCGAAUCCAGUCUACUGUCUUAGAACGAGGCGUAACUUCAUGAAGGCCGUGGAAACUGAUGAGCUAGAGGGCAGUAGGGGCGGAAGGAAUUCCUGGUGUAGCGGUGAAAUGCUUAGAUAUCACGAAGAACACCGGUGGCGAAAGCGCUCUGCUGCGCUGCAACUGACACUGAUGGACGAAAACUCCGGGAGCGAAUGGGAUUUUAUACCCCCCUAGUCAAAAAUCAGGCACGAAAGCGUGGGGAGCCAAAGGGAUUAG
rnacentral:rRNA from 1 species